ACUCCUACGGGAGGCAGCAGUGGGGAAUAUUGCACAAUGGGGGAAACCCUGAUGCAGCCAUGCCGCGUGUGUGAAGAAGGCCUUCGGGUUGUAAAGCACUUUCAGUAGGGAGGAAGGUAGUGUAGUUAACACCUGCAUUAUUUGUACGUUACCUACAGAAGAAGCACCGGCUAACUCCGUGCCAGCAGCCGCGGUAAGUACGGAGGGUGCGAGCGUUAAUCGGAAUUACUGGGCGUAAAGCGCAUGCAGGCGGCCUGUUAAGUCAGAUGUGAAAGCCCGGGGUCUUAACCUCGGAAUUGCAUUUGAAACUGGCAGGCUAGAGUCUUGUAGAGGGGUUAGAAGUUUCAGGUGUAGCGGUGAAAUGCGUAGAGAUCUGAAGGAAUA
rnacentral:rRNA from 1 species